rnacentral:rRNA from 1 species
CCGCAGUUAACACAAUAAGUAUCCCACCUGGGGAGUACGAUCGCAAGGUUGAAACUCAAAGGAAUUGACGGGGGCCCGCACAAGCGGUGGAGUAUGUGGUUUAAUUCGAAGCAACGCGAAGAACCUUACCAGGGCUUGACAUCCCGGCGACCGGUGUAGAGAUACACUUUCUUCUUCGGAAGCGCCGGUGACAGGUGGUGCAUGGUUGUCGUCAGCUCGUGUCGUGAGAUGUUGGGUUAAGUCCCGCAACGAGCGCAACCCUUAUUGUUAGUUGCUACGCAAGAGCACUCUAGCGAGACUGCCGUUGACAAAACGGAGGAAGGUGGGGACGACGUCAAAUCAUCAUGCCCCUUAUGUCCUGGGCCACACACGUACUACAAUGGUGGUCAACAGAGGGAGGCAAUACCGCGAGGUGGAGCAAAUCCCUAAAAGCCAUCCCAGUUCGGAUCGCAGGCUGCAACCCGCCUGCGUGAAGUUGGAAUCGCUAGUAAUCGCGGAUCAGCAUGCCGCGGUGAAUACGUUCCCGGGCCUUGCACACACCGCCCGUC